AUGGGCCCAGGCCCAGCAGCGGUGUCGAGCUUGGCGUCCCCAGACUGGACCAUCCUCAAGUGUGGAACUCGUGCCCACAAUGCUACUCUGCCUUGGACAACAAGUCGCGAGUCGACGAGCGCCUCGUGCCUUUUAAGAACCCACCCAAAUCUCGACCUUCACUGCCGUCGUCUCCUGCUUCCUCAGCUCCCUCUCAAUUUGCGGAAAUGUUCCUCACCAGGACCGAGUAUGAUCGUGGCGUCAACACUUUCUCCCCGGAGGGGAGGUUGUUCCAGGUCGAGUACGCCAUCGAGGCCAUCAAGUUGGGUUCUACCGCCAUUGGAUUGAGGACGAAGGAAGGCGUAGUGCUUGCCGUCGAGAAGCGUGUGACCUCACCGUUGCUGGAACCAAGCAGUGUUGAGAAGAUUAUGGAGAUUGACGAACACAUAGGCUGUGCAAUGAGUGGAUUGAUAGCUGAUGCACGAACUCUUGUAGAACAUGGUCGUGUUGAGACUCAGAAUCACAGGUUUUCCUAUGGUGAAGCAAUGACUGUUGAGUCAACUACCCAAGCACUAUGUGAUCUGGCGCUUCGAUUUGGAGAAGGUGAUGAAGAAUCAAUGUCACGGCCAUUUGGGGUGUCUCUUCUGAUUGCUGGUCAUGAUGAGCAUGGACCUAGCUUGUACUAUACUGAUCCAUCUGGCACAUUCUGGCAAUGCAAUGCAAAAGCAAUAGGAUCUGGAUCCGAAGGAGCUGAUAGUUCUCUUCAAGAGCAAUACAACAAGGACCUGUCCCUUCUGGAAGCUGAAACUAUAGCUCUUUCCAUCCUGAAACAAGUCAUGGAAGAAAAGGUAACCCCUAAUAAUGUUGACAUUGCAAAGGUGGCUCCUACUUACCAUCUAUAUACACCUGCCGAGGUUAAAGAUGUCAUUUCUCGCCUCUGAUCGGCAAGGCCAUUUAUCUUGUUAUCUGCGUUUCUUCGUACUUCAUACUACUUGCUAGAUUGCUGUUUAAUUGUGCUGGAUGCUGUGAGCCAUUGAACCAAUGGUGACAUUGCAAAGGAGACUUGGAGAGGAAAUACUACAAGUGUUCAAGUCAAUGUCACAUUUAAAAGCGGUAUUGUUGGAGAAUUGCUAGUCCAGUUUAUGCGGAGAACAUUGUGAAUGAGGAAGUGGACUGUGUUUAACUAGCCCUUUUUGGUUCUCAUACCUCAAAGAGGUUGAGGGUAUUAGGGUUUAGGGUUAUGUUAGGUUGUUGAUUGUGUUAUGCGAAUAUUCUAUGAAUCUAUCUAUUAAAUUA